UACGUAGGGUGCGAGCGUUGUCCGGAAUUAUUGGGCGUAAAGAGCUUGUAGGCGGUCUGUCGCGUCUGCUGUGAAAAUCCGGGGCUCAACCCCGGACUUGCAGUGGGUACGGGCAGACUAGAGUGUGGUAGGGGAGACUGGAAUUCCUGGUGUAGCGGUGAAAUGCGCAGAUAUCAAGAGGAACACCUGAGGUGAAGACGGGUUGCUGGGCCGACACUGACGCUGACAGCGCGAAAGCCAGGGGAGCAAACGGG
rnacentral:rRNA from 1 species